GCAUGGGUUUGGAUUUAUGGCAGGUUCGUCCCCUCUGGGCCUCUCAUAGUGUCCCAUGCCAGAGCAAGCGGCGUCCCCGAACCAUUGCCUGGCCCUUGUCAGUGGGCUCCGGGCACUGAAGCGGGUCGCACAAUG